rnacentral:rRNA from 1 species
AUUGAACGCUGGCGGCAGGCCUAACACAUGCAAGUCGAGCGAGCGGCGGACGGGUGAGUAAUGUCUGGGAAACUGCCUGAUGGAGGGGGAUAACUACUGGAAACGGUAGCUAAUACCGCAUACCAUCAGAUGUGUCCAGAUGGGAUUAGCUCGUAGGUGGGGUAAUGGCUCACCUAGGCGACGAUCCCUAGCUGGUCUGAGAGGAUGACCAGCCACACUGGAACGGAGACACGGUCAAGAAUCCGACGAGAGGCAGCAGUGGGGAAUAUUGCACAAUGGGCGCAAGCCUGAUGCAGCCAUGCCGCGUGUGUGAAGAAGGCCUUCGGGUUGUAAAGCACUUUCAGCGGGGAGGCGUUACCCGGAGAAGAAGCACCGGCUAACUCCGUGCCAGCAGCCGCGGUAAUAC